rnacentral:rRNA from 1 species
AGCGAACGCUGGCGGCGUGCUUAACACAUGCAAGUCGAGUGCGCGCCUGUAGCAAUACAGGUGCGCACGGCGCACGGGUGCGUAACACGUGGGUAAUCUGCCCUUCGAUGGGAGUAACCUCGCGAAAGCGAGGCUAAUUCCGCAUAACAUUCCGACUGGUUCCGAUCAAUGGACUCAAAGCCGUAAGGCGUCGGAGGAGGAGCCCGCGCACGAUUAGCUAGNGGUGAGGUAACGGCUCACCAAGGCUUUGAUCGUUAGCUGGUCUGAGAGGAUGGCCAGCCACACUGGAACUGAGACACGGUCCAGACUCCUACGGGAGGCAGCAGUGGGGAAUCUUGCACAAUGGGCGAAAG